rnacentral:rRNA from 1 species
GACGAACGCUGGCGGCGUGCCUAAUACAUGCAAGUCGAGCGAAGCGGCGGAUGGGUGAGUAACGCGUGGGUAACCUGCCCUUAAGUCUGGGAUACCAUUUGGAAACAGAUGCUAAUACCGGAUACUAACGGAUGGACCUGCGAUGCAUUAGCUAGUUGGUAAGGUAACGGCUUACCAAGGCGAUGAUGCAAGGCCGACUUAAGGCAAUGAUCGUCUAAAUGGGAACUGGGACACGACCCAGAAUCCUACGGGAGGCAGCAUUUGGGAAGCUUCCAAACAGGACAAACGUCGGAUGAAGCAACACAGCGGAAGUGAAGAAGGCUUUCGGAUCGUAAAGCUCUGUUGUUGGUGAAGCGGUAAUCAACCAGAAAGUUACGGCGAACUACGUGCCAGCAGCCGCGGUAAUUC